UACGUAGGGAGCAAGCGUUGUUCGGAUUUACUGGGCGUAAAGGGCGCGUAGGCGGCGUGACAAGUCACUUGUGAAAUCUCCGGGCUUAACUCGGAACGGUCAAGUGAUACUGUUGUGCUAGAGUACAGAAGGGGCAAUCGGAAUUCUUGGUGUAGCGGUGAAAUGCGUAGAUAUCAAGAGGAACACCAGAGGCGAAGGCGGAUUGCUGGGCUGAUACUGACGCUGAGGCGCGAAAGCUAGGGUAGCAAACGGG
rnacentral:rRNA from 1 species